UACGGAGGGUGCAAGCGUUAUCCGGAUUUACUGGGUUUAAAGGGUGCGUAGGUGGAUAAGAAAGUCAGUGGUGAAAUCUUCGGGCUUAACCCGGAACUGCCGUUGAUACUAUUUAUCUUGAAUACUUUGGAGGUAAGCGGAAUAUGUCAUGUAGCGGUGAAAUGCUUAGAUAUGACAUAGAACACCAAUUGCGAAGGCAGCUUACUACACAGUAAUUGACACUGAGGCACGAAAGCGUGGGGAUCAAACAGG
rnacentral:rRNA from 1 species